rnacentral:rRNA from 1 species
GACGAACGCUGGCGGCGUGCUUAACACAUGCAAGUCGAACGGAAAGGCCCUGCUUUUGUGGGGUGCUCGAGUGGCGAACGGGUGAGUAACACGUGAGUAACCUGCCCUUGACUUUGGGAUAACUUCAGGAAACUGGGGCUAAUACCGGAUAGGAGCUCCUGCUGCACGGUGGGGGUUGGAAAGUUUCGGCGGUUGGGGAUGGACUCGCGGCUUAUCAGCUUGUUGGUGGGGUAGUGGCUUACCAAGGCUUUGACGGGUAGCCGGCCUGGGAGGGUGACCGGCCACAUUGGGACUGAGGUACGGCCCAGACUCCUACGGGAGGCAGCAGUGGGGAAUAUUGCACAAUGGGCGGAAGCCUGAUGCAGCAACGCCGCGUGCGGGAUGACGGCCUUCGGGUUGUAAACCGCUUUCGCCUGUGACGAAGCGUGAGUGACGGUAAUGGGUAAAGAAGCACCGGCUAACUACGUG